GGCUGUACGAAACCCGGAGGCGUAAUGAAAGUGAAGGUCUGACUAUAUUCAGGCCCGGGUGGGAUCCCGAGAAGAGUUUUACUCUCGACGGGCGCACCACCGGCCCGUCUCAGCCGCAGCGUCGGCGAGGCGGAGCAAGAGCGUACUUGUUGGGACCCGAAAGAUGGUGAACUAUGCCUGAGCAGGACGAAGCCAGAGGAAACUCUGGUGGAGGUCCGCAGCGAUUCUGACGUGCAAAUCGAU
rnacentral:rRNA from 1 species